GUGGGAAGGAAGGGAGCGGAAAGGCCGAGCGCCACCCGCCCCGGGAGUCUCCAGAGCAGCGCGCGGGGCAGACCUCCUCGGGUCCUCCGGCGCUUCGGUCUCCGGAGACGCCCGGCCUCCUGAAGGGUUCGGCUUGUCCUCCUCUGGCGCUCAGCUCCCUCUGGCGGCCGGGCUGGCAGGACCUCAGCGCCCAGCCCUUCCGUCUUGUUACGUCCAGGGUCUCACUCUGUGUCUCAGGCUGGAGUACAGUGGUGCAAUUGUAGAUGGCUGCAGCCCUCGACCUCCUGGGCUCAAGUGAUCCUCCUGCCUUAGCCUCUCGAGUAGCUGGGAGUACAGAUGCACACCACCACACCCAGCCUAGAAUGAAGAAACCUGCAGUUGGGAAGCAUGAAUUUACCACCUAUUAAGAUCCCCUUUUAUUUUUCAGAAUUGUGGCUUGCAUUGUAAGAGGAGCCUGUGAAUUCAGAGGCAAGUCUGCUGAGGACCGAAUGUUCCUGUCCAUAAAAACAGAAGUCUGGCCUGGGCUCCUCUCUUGGGUGAAUUUGCAAUGCCAGAUCCUCUCUAUCAGUUUGGUUUUGUUUCUUGUAUCUCUGGGAAGGCAGGCAGACAGCACGGUCACCUGUGAAUGCAGCUACAAUUGGCUUAGCUGCCUCACUGAUAAAUGUGCCCCCAGUAAGCUACAAAGGGAUUACCAGCGUUCUCAGCAGCUAAAGGAACUGGUGAAGAUUUCCCCAGCAAAAAGUAGAAGCUCAGUGUUUCAUAGAUGAAGACUGGGGAGAUUGCAAAAGACCCAUCCAGAGUCUCACUUUGUCGCCCAGGCUGGAGUACAGUGGUGCGAUCUUGGCUCUCUGCAACCUCUGCCUCCCAGGUUCAAGUAAUUCUCCUGCCUCAGCCUCCCGAGUAGCUGGUACUACAGGCACACAUUUGUAGAGAUGGUGUUUCCCCAUGUCAUCCAGGCUGGUCUGGAACUCCUGGGAUCAAGUAAUCCACCCGCCUCGGCCUCCCAAAGUGCUGGGAUUACAGACGUGAGCCACCACGCCCUGCCAAUAAAAAGAUUAUCUCCAGAUGCUGGAAUGACCAGUAAUUUAUUUUCUUCCUUUUUUUUUGUCUGCACUUUCUACCAUAAUCAUAUGUUAGCUUCUUACUAAGAAGAAAAGUCAAUGUUAUUUCCCUGAAAAAGUAAUGUUGUUUGGUUAUUAAACAAAUUUAAUUUUCUAAACAAGAGUACGACAGGUAAACUGCCUACCUUAAAAGCAAACGAACACAAAUAAAUAAACUAACCAUCUUCCACUUCAGUCUCUGUCCUUUCACCAGAGUUGCUGAUCAGCCCAGAAUGGACUGAUUUGAAUUUGCUUAGUUGUUCAUUCAUUCAUUUAUUUAACAAGUAUUUAUUAAGCACUUGCUCUGUAGAAAGCACUGUGCUGGUAUUGGAAUACUGGCUUAUGUAAGUGUGAUAGUAAUGGGAUUCUGACUUAGGCCUGACUCCUGGGCCGUAAUGUUUGGAUACUAUGUAUACAUCUAACUAUAAAACGAG
rnacentral:lncRNA from 10 species